CGGUAAUGCAAGAAGAUAAACUGAGUGAAUCUACUAAAAUCCUUCAAGAUGCUACUGAGAAAAUGGCUCUACAGAACAAACACAUUCAGGAGCUGACUCAAGCUUUGAAAGAAAAGGACAAAGAAAUUAGUCACCUACAAACUCUGGUUGGUCACUUGGAAGCUACUAUAAAAGAUUCUGAGAUCAUCAUUGCCACUAUAAAACAGGAAAUAGAACAGGAAAACUGCAGUGAAUCCAAGGAGAAAAGCAUUGGCUCAAAAAGGAAACGGUAUUUAGAAAGGGAUGAAGAAGGCCCCCCUUCAAAGCAAGGAUUCAUUCACAACAGUUCUAAAGAUGCCAUAGUCUCAGAGAAAGCUGAUGAAACACAACCCCAUCCUUUGAAGGAAAAGGGAGACAUGGUGGCCUUGGAGGAAAAAAAUAAAAUGCUAGAAGUUCAGGUGGCCUCACUUAAAGAAAAGUUAGAAAAAGAGGAAAAGGAGAAGAAGGGAUUUUCCAGUGAAAUUGCUAGAUUGUCUCAAGCUCUUUCUUCCGAAAAGGAAAGAGUUUCUGGCUUGAAUAGGGAGCUCCAGCAACAGCAGAUAAUUCAGGAGCAGGCAACACUUGAAUUAGCUAUGCUGAAAGAGAGAAAUAAAGGUCAUGAGGAGAAAAUUCAGAUUCUGCUUCAAGAGAUAGGUGCUGCUAGCCAAAUCACUGUAGAAGAAAAAUCACAGGUAAAGGCACUUGAAGCAGGAUUGGGUUUAUUGAACAGGUUAGGGUCAGCUUGCCCUGUGGUAGAUGUUGACUUGGCAAAUCAAGAAAAU
rnacentral:lncRNA from 1 species